rnacentral:rRNA from 1 species
AUUGAACGCUGGCGGCAGGCCUAACACAUGCAAGUCGAGCGGAGCGGCGGACGGGUGAGUAAGGCCUAGGUAUCUGCCUGGUAGUGGGGGAUAACGUCCGGAAACGGGCGCUAAUACCGCAUACUAUCAGAAGAGCCUAGGUCGGAUUAGCUAGUUGGUGGGGUAAAGGCCUACCAAGGCGACGAUCCGUAACUGGUCUGAGAGGAUGAUCAGUCACACUGGAACGGAGACACGGUCCAGACUCCUACGGGAGGCAGCAGUGGGGAAUAUUGGACAAUGGGCGAAAGCCUGAUCCAGCCAUGCCGCGUGUGUGAAGAAGGUCUUCGGGUUGUAAAGCACUUUAAGCUGGGAGGCGUUACCAGCAGAAUAAGCACCGGCUAACUUCGUGCCAGCAGCCGCGGUAAUAC